GCAGACACCGUCACCACAUUUAAGAGUAAACUUAAAACUCUUCUCUUCGAUAAAGCUUAUAGUUAGGGAGUGAGGAGUUGCAGCGUCCGCCUAGCCUGGCCCACCUGCUUCUCGUCAUAGUUAGCGGUUAUACUAAUAAUACAAACAAAGU